AUCCAGCUGACAAGUCUCUCAUACGACGAAACGCGCGUCCUGAAU
rfam:Schistosoma rodhaini strain Burundi genome assembly, scaffold: SROB_scaffold0006375